rnacentral:rRNA from 1 species
UACGUAGGGGGCAAGCGUUGUCCGGAUUUAUUGGGCGUAAAGGGUGCGUAGGCGGCGCGGUAAGUCGGGUGUGAAAUCUCGGAGCUUAACUCCGAAACUGCAUUCGGUACUGCCGUGCUUGAGGACUGGAGAGGAGACUGGAAUUUACGGUGUAGCGGUGAAAUGCGUAGAUAUCGUAAGGAAGACCAGUGGCGAAGGCGGGUCUCUGGACAGUUCCUGACGCUGAGGCACGAAGGCCAGGGGAGCAAACGGGG